GACGAACGCUGGCGGCGUGCUUAACACAUGCAAGUCGAACGGAAAGGCCCUGCUUUUGUGGGGUGCUCGAGUGGCGAACGGGUGAGUAACACGUGAGUAACCUGCCCUUGACUUUGGGAUAACUUCAGGAAACUGGGGCUAAUACCGGAUAGGAGCUCCUGCUGCAUGGUGGGGGUUGGAAAGUUUCGGCGGUUGGGGAUGGACUCGCGGCUUAUCAGCUUGUUGGUGGGGUAGUGGCUUACCAAGGCUUUGACGGGUAGCCGGCCUGAGAGGGUGACCGGCCACAUUGGGACUGAGAUACGGCCCAGAGUCCUACGGGAGGCAGCAGUGGGGAAUAUUGCACAAUGGGCGGAAGCCUGAUGCAGCAACGCCGCGUGCGGGAUGACGGCCUUCGGGUUGUAAACCGCUUUCGCCUGUGACGAAGCGUGAGUGACGGUAAUGGGUAAAGAGGCACCGGCUAACUACGUG
rnacentral:rRNA from 1 species